AGGCAAGAAGAACUGGGUCGCAGGAAACAUCAUACACGUUGUAGCAGGCAGGACACUUAAUGCCAUUGGGUACUGAGGAUUCCUGAGGCACUGAAUGAAGAAAGAAAAUUUUCAUCUCAAAGAAUCUGAUGAAGCACCUUGAGUGCUUUCUGAGUGCUGAAGAAGCCUUGCACCCCGGGGAUAAAGCCCACCGGGUCAUCAUCUGAAGAAGCACAUGGAGUGCUCUCCGAGUGCUGAAGCAGCCUUGCACCCCGGGGAUAAACCCCACUGGGUCAUGCAUGCAGUGACCUGGAGUUCAGGGAAUUGGCAAACAGAUUGCGGGACUGGUUCAAGGACCUUCAUGAAAAUGGAAGCCAAAACAAGAUGACAAAAGCAUUACUGAGGCCUGAGAGAAGCAGUAAGAUUUCUAAAUAUGACAUGUGCCAUUGUCUUUGACAUGGAACUUUAUUUCCAAUGAAUCACUUAGAUCAAAACACAUAUUCCAAAAUUUAUUCUUUGCUAGGUGCUGAACAAAAAUCAGAACAUUGCUAUUACUUCCAAGCACACUCAUAGUAUUUUGCAAG